rnacentral:lncRNA from 1 species
UUUGACCUUGACCUAAUUUUCAUUUUUUUGGACCAAGGAUCUCAAAUCAAAAGACCCUAGGUCUCUAAUAUGUAUGGUUAAUAAGUUAUAUCACUUUACGCAUAAUUUUAGAUAUGAUAGGGGCUAAAACUCCCAUUUAUUGUCUACGCACCCUUUCAACCAAAAUUAUUAUGUUACGACAUGUCGCAGCUAACAAUUUAGUAAAAAUAAUUUGUCGAUAUC